UCCCUGGUGGUCUAGUGGUCAGGAUUUGGUGCUCUCACUGCUGGGGCCUGGGGUUGGAUUCCCAAUCAGGGAA
rnacentral:tRNA from 1 species